AUUGAACGCUGGCGGCAUGCCUUACACAUGCAAGUCGAACGGCAGCACGGGAGCUUGCUCCUGGUGGCGAGUGGCGAACGGGUGAGUAAUACAUCGGAACGUACCCUGAAGUGGGGGAUAACGUAGCGAAAGUUACGCUAAUACCGCAUAUUCUGUGAGCAGGAAAGAGGGGGAUCGCAAGACCUCUUGCUUUAGGAGCGGCCGAUGUCGGAUUAGCUAGUUGGUGAGGUAAAGGCUCACCAAGGCGACGAUCCGUAGCGGGUCUGAGAGGAUGAUCCGCCACACUGGGACUGAGACACGGCCCAGACUCCUACGGGAGGCAGCAGUGGGGAAUUUUUGGACAAUGGGCGCAAGCCUGAUCCAGCCAUGCCGCGUGAGUGAAGAAGGCCU
rnacentral:rRNA from 1 species